UGGGGCGUCGACAAGAGGCUAGUCACAGGAUUUUGAUUCCUGCAACGGAGGUUCGAAUCCUCCCGCCCCAG
rnacentral:tRNA from 1 species